GCUUAACACAUGCAAGUCGAGGGGCAGCAUAGUCUUAGCUUGCUAAGGCCGAUGGCGACCGGCGCACGGGUGAGUAACACGUAUCCAACCUGCCGUCUACUCUUGGACAGCCUUCUGAAAGGAAGAUUAAUACAAGAUGGCAUCAUGAGUCCGCAUGUUCACAUGAUUAAAGGUAUUCCGGUAGACGAUGGGGAUGCGUUCCAUUAGAUAGUAGGCGGGGUAACGGCCCACCUAGUCUUCGAUGGAUAGGGGUUCUGAGAGGAAGGUCCCCCACAUUGGAACUGAGACACGGUCCAAACUCCUACGGGAGGCAGCAGUGAGGAAUAUUGGUCAAUGGGCGAGAGCCUGAACCAGCCAAGUAGCGUGAAGGAUGACUGCCCUAUGGGUUGUAAACUUCUUUUAUAAAGGAAUAAAGUCGGGUAUGGAUACCCGUUUGCAUGUACUUUAUGAAUAAGGAUCGGCUAACUCCGUGCCAGCAGCCGCGGUAAUACGGAGGAUCCGAGCGUUAUCCGGAUUUAUUGGGUUUAAAGGGAGCGUAGAUGGAUGUUUAAGUCAGUUGUGAAAGUUUGCGGCUCAACCGUAAAAUUGCAGUUGAUACUGGAUAUCUUGAGUGCAGUUGAGGCAGGCGGAAUUCGUGGUGUAGCGGUGAAAUGCUUAGAUAUCACGAAGAACUCCGAUUGCGAAGGCAGCCUGCUAAGCUGCAACUGACAUUGAGGCUCGAAAGUGUGGGUAUCAAACAGGAUUAGAUACCCUGGUAGUCCACACGGUAAACGAUGAAUACUCGCUGUUUGCGAUAUACUGCAAGCGGCCAAGCGAAAGCGUUAAGUAUUCCACCUGGGGAGUACGCCGGCAACGGUGAAACUCAAAGGAAUUGACGGGGGCCCGCACAAGCGGAGGAACAUGUGGUUUAAUUCGAUGAUACGCGAGGAACCUUACCCGGGCUUAAAUUGCAGAUGAAUUACGGUGAAAGCCGUAAGCCGCAAGGCAUCUGUGAAGGUGCUGCAUGGUUGUCGUCAGCUCGUGCCGUGAGGUGUCGGCUUAAGUGCCAUAACGAGCGCAACCCUUGUUGUCAGUUACUAACAGGUUCCGCUGAGGACUCUGACAAGACUGCCAUCGUAAGAUGUGAGGAAGGUGGGGAUGACGUCAAAUCAGCACGGCCCUUACGUCCGGGGCUACACACGUGUUACAAUGGGGGGUACAGAGGGCCGCUACCACGCGAGUGGAUGCCAAUCCCCAAAACCUCUCUCAGUUCGGACUGGAGUCUGCAACCCGACUCCACGAAGCUGGAUUCGCUAGUAAUCGCGCAUCAGCCACGGCGCGGUGAAUACGUUCCCGGGCCUUGUACACACCGCCCGUCAAGCCAUGGGAGCCGGGGGUACCUGAAGUGCGUAACCGCGAGGAGCGCCCUAGGGUAAAACUGGUGACUGGGGCUAAGUCAUAACA
rnacentral:rRNA from 1 species